UCCCGCUUAGCUCAGUUGGUAGAGCGCGUCACUAGUAGGCCAUGACGAGGUCAGUCGUUCAAAUCGGCUAGCGGGAA